rnacentral:tRNA from 1 species
GGCGAGAUGGCCGAGCGGUCCAAGGCGCUGGUUUUAGGUACCAGUCCCUUCGGGGGCAUGGGUUCGAAUCCCACUCUCGUCA